AGCAGCCGCGGUAAUUCCAGCUCCAAUAGCGUAUAUUAAAGUUGUUGCAGUUAAAAGCUCGUAGUUGAAUUUCGGAAUCAGUACGCUGGUCGUGCCUUCGGUAUGUACUGGUGUCACUGAUUCCUCCCUUCUGAAGAACCAUCAUGCCAUUCACUUGGUGUGGUGGGGAAUCAGGACUGUUACUUUGAAAAAUUAGAGUGUUUAAAGCAGGCUCGCGCUUGAAUACAUUAGCAUGGAAUAAUGAAAUAGGACGUUAAUCCUAUUUUGUUGGUUUCUAGGAUCGACGUAAUGAUUAAUAGGGAUAGUUGGGGGCAUUAGUAUUCAAUUGUCAGAGGUGAAAUUCUUGGAUUUAUUGAAGACUAACUACUGCGAAAGCAUUUGCCAAGGAUGUUUUCAUUAAUCAAGAACGAAAGUUAGGGGAUCGAAGACGAUCAGAUACCGUCGUAGUCUUAACCAUAAACUAUGCCGACUAAGGAUCGGAUGAUGUAAUUUUUAAUGACUCAUUC
rnacentral:rRNA from 1 species